rnacentral:lncRNA from 1 species
AAUAAACCAAAAUUUGCUAAAAACUCCUUACAGCCUCUGAGCUCCGCAAGUACUUGGGCUACACAGCCCUCGUCUUGUUCUCCGCUGCAGCCACCUACUACUCCUUCCCUUUCCCUGAAAACGCCAGGCACAAAAAAGCCCAGAUUUUCCGCUAUGCUCCUCUGCCCGAGGAGCUCCACACAGUCUCCAACUGGAGCGGGACCCACGGGGUCCAGACCCGGGUUUUCCACCAGCCUGAGACCCAUGAGGAGCUGGAAAAGGCUGUCAAAGAUGCCCGUGAGAAGAAAACCCGGAUUCGGCCGGUCGGGUCCGGGUUGUCCCCGAAUGGGAUUGGAUUGUCCAGGGCUGGAAUGGUCAAUUUGGCGCUGAUGGAUAAGGUUUUGGAGGUGGAUAAGGAGAAGAAGAGGGUGAGAGUGCAAGCUGGGAUAAGGGUGCAGGAAUUGGUGGAUGGGAUCAAGGAACAUGGCCUUACUCUGCAGAACUUUGCCUCCAUUAGGAAGCAGCAGAUUGGUGGCAUUUUGCAGGUUGGUUUGUUUUUUUGUUAAGUUUGAUGUGGGUUUUGGUUUAACUGUUUCCAAUUGACUGGCCUUAUCACAUUUUGAUUUUUGCUAAUAUGAUCUUUCUCUUUGCCUCAUGUUCAUAUGCGUGUAGGUUGGUGCACAUGGUACUGGUGCAAAAUUGCCUCCGAUGGAUGAACAGGUGAUCAGUAUGAAGCUGGUCACUCCUGCUAAGGGAACAAUAGAAAUCUCUAAAGAGAAAGAUCCAGAGCUGUUUUGUUUAGCCCGGUGUGGCCUUGGAGUGGUUGCUGAAGUCACCAUCCAGUGCGUUGAGAGACAGGAGCUUGUAGAGCACACUUCUGUCUCAAACAUGGAAGAGAUCAAGAAAAAUCAUAAGUAAUUAUUUAUUCCUUUCAUUGUUAGAUUUAUUGGUUUAUCUUUCAUUCAGAUAGUAAGUGCAAAAUGCAUGAGUGUUGCUUGCAAGUUGCAAAUUGCAACAAGUUUAUGGAAAGAUGAAAACUAUUGAGUGUGAGGCAACCAUUGUUUGGUUUGGAGCUAGGGUUUUACAAUGUUUUAAGGGAUGGUGAAAACACUUCCAUUGAGUGCUGAGAUUUGGUGGCUUGUAAUGCAAACCCUUCAUUGAAUUUCAUCUAGUGAUUUUUUUUUUGGAAGAAAAAAGAGAAACUACAAUAAAAACCACUCACAAAAAAGGUAAGUUAGAAAAAGCUCAAAUUUUGAAAAUUUUAGUCUCACUUCACAGCUGCUAACAAUAAAACAUUAUAAAAGAAUGGUCAUUUCAGCUAGUGAUAGCAACACUUUCCAGUGAAACAUAAAAAUUGUCGAUCACUGAUGCAUCAACAUGUACAUGUGGUUCUUAACUCUCAAGUCAUUGCUUAGUAAGGGUAAGCUGUAUGUACUGUUUUUUCUUAUUUAUAACGAAUUCUUCUCUCCCUCUGUAUGUCCUGUUUUUGCUUAUUUUUAACGAAUUCUCUCUCUCUCUCUCUCUCUCUCUCUCUCUCUCUCGUAUUUUGACUCACUGUGCGCUUAUGCACCAUUAGUAUUAUAGCGCGAUAUGGAAUCAGGAAAUGAAUGAUACAUGAUCUGUUUGUUUCACAGGAAAUUACUAUCUGAGAAUAAACAUGUGAAGUGCCUUUAUAUUCCAUAUAGCGACACUGUUGUGGUUGUGACGUGUAACCCUGUAUCAAAAUGGAAAGGUCCCCCAAAGUUCAAACCCAAAUAUAGCAGCGAUGAAGCCAUACAGCAUGUUCGAGAUCUCUACAACGAAUGCCUCCAGAAGUGCAGGUAAAGUUGUUUCCUGGUCCUGUCAACCAUAUAAUCUAGCAAGAUAUUUUCUCCUGUUUGAGCUGAAGGACAAUAAGCUGUACAGGCUGAAUGUCUUUUAUUCCCUUUUAUCAUUUAUCAUUUUCUUUAUUUUCAUAUUCUCUUGGCUUAGAGGACCUGUGCAAGUGCAAUAAAGUAAAGGCAUCAAAGUACUGCUAGAGCUAUGUGGUGAAAUGGGAAACAAAAACUUUUUGCAACAUGGUCUUAAAUGACUGCUUUUUUCUUUCAUUUCUCUGUUUCAAUGUUCAGUGGCUUUGAUAUUCCAGAUUUCUUACUAAUAGAACUUGGAACUCUGUUUAUAUACUGUUAAGACAAUACUCAUUAGCACUUAAUAUAGAUGCAUACGCUUAUACUCUUGUAAGCUUGGGCAAGCUUGGUUGGGGUUGGUUUAACCAAGGUCAACCCAGGUCGUGAAAUCCCAACUGGAAUGUUGUAUGCAGGUUGGUGGGCAUGGAUUGCGAACUCCUAGAGCUGUCUUUGGUGUUGUUGUGUUAGCAUAAAACGGAUUACUGGUCCUCCAUUGUUCUUCCUCUAUUAUCUGUUCUUUUUUGCUUCAUAUACUCAAAAACUCCCAUAUUGCUAUUGUGCUGAUUCAUCUGUUCGUUGCAGCUAACCAUUUACACAUUUUACUUGCAGUGUAGUUCCAGUUAAGAAUGACGUGGACAUAAAUGAGCUGUCAUUUACAGAGUUGAGAGAUAAACUGCUUGCCCUAGAUCCUCUCGACAAAGAUCAUGUUGUAAAAGUUAAUCAAGCUGAGGCUGAAUUCUGGAGGAAGUCAGAGGGAUACAGAGUGGGAUGGAGUGAUGAAAUUCUGGGCUUUGAUUGUGGUGGUCAAACAGUGGGUUUCAGAAACUUGUUUUCCAGUUGGAACCCUUUCCAAACCAAGCUUGAAAGACCUUGAAUACAUAGAAGAUGUAAAGCAGCUCAUAGAGAAGAACAAGGUACCAGCACCUGCUCCAAUAGAGCAGCGCUGGACAGCAUGCACUAAGAGCCCCAUGAGUCCAGCUUCAAGUACAAAAGACGAUGAUAUAUUUUCGUGGGUAAUUUCAUGAACCAAUGUUUCUUCGCAUUGUUCUUUAUAUCCCUUGGGUUAAUUCCUUAUGCAUAUCUUGAAUUAGAAAGGUGUCAGUGGUAUAAAAACGUUAAUCACUUGUUGACCAUGCAUACAAGACAAUUUUAGGGUUAAGCUUUUUUUUAUUUUACCUUGAUUAAGCAUGAUAGAUGAAUUGGUGGUACAAGUCUUCUGGGGUUUAGUGUAAAAGUAUGUUCCCUUUACAUUGAACAUACGGAGGAUGUUUGUGCUUAUUACUGGUGUUUCUGGCAUAGGUUCUUACAUGAACAUGACAUAUUUAUUAAAUAGGUAACACAUCUCUACCUGUGUAACCUGUUAAUAAACAGAUUUCAUCCAGAACCCAUUGACCCGUGUAAUAAAUGGACCUUGUUAAUGAUAUGACAUGAUACAACCCACUUGAAAUAGGUCACCAUUUAGCACCUUUAUGAGAAUUCAACCUACUUCGCAUGUAUUUGUUUUUAUAAGAACCAAACUUUAUGAGUAAAGUGACAGAAAAUACGUAGGAUGAACAAGAAGUCCGUCAAAAACUAAUUUGUCUACGACCAAAAAAAAAAUAAACUCCAAAGAAUGAAAAAGAUGAGGUACUAUAGUAUCUUAAUUUUGUACACCUAUUUAACUUGUUUAGUAUCUUGUAUCUUACAUCCAACCCAACAACAGUUGACAAUGGGUAGAGAAGCCCAGGGGCAUCAUGUAUCUUAGUACUACUCUGCGAGGCUUUACUUCCACGAUGUGGUACAGUACUCUCAACACUAUAUACAAAUUAUAAAUUAAGAAUGCGCACCCAAUUUUGAUAGGAAUAGAAUUGGCCAAUGGUACUUUUAGAUUUUUUCAACUACUAAACGUAAAUACUUAAUUUUGCAUUGGACAAUUGAGAAAAGGUUUUUGUGAAAAUGAUUUAAAUGUGACAAAAAACAAUCAACCACCAAGUAAAUAAGUGUAGUAACAUACAAUGAUCAUAUUAGUAUCCAUAUCCUUAUUUGGGGCUGUAUCUGUAUUGGAUACUCACCCUGGCCAAAAUAUUACACACCUCUGCUAUGUUACAUGUAUGUGGAAUUAGUUAACUCUCUUAUCAAAUGCUGUUACCAACUACAAUGCUCAUGUGUAAAAGCUGUUUUAAAUUUUGUAUCAGGUUGGUAUAAUCAUGUACCUUCCUACAACGGAUGCCCGCCAAAGAAAGGAAAUUACAGAAGAGUUUUUCCACUACAGGCGUCUGACCCAAGUACAGUUGUGGGAUAAGUAUUCCGCUUAUGAACACUGGGCAAAGAUUGAGGUAUUAAAUGUCAUCUUAGAUGAUUGUCUUCGUAGAAUCUUUCUAAAAUGAUGUUACCACCAUGAUAUUGUGGAAUCCUGAAGAGUGAAUUUAUUGUUUUCAAUACCCUCAAACUCAUGCUAAAUUUCCAACAUCUUAGCAAACUUAAUUUUUUACAGGGUUUGCAUUCACUUGCAAUCUCAACAACAAAUUUUUUUUCUAAGGCAACACCUAUUGUAACGUGUCCAGAUUAAAGUUGUUUUGUAGCUGAUCAAGCUGCUUCUUUUAGGAAUUCUACCAAUUUAUCUUUUGUAAAAUGGCUGAAUAAAACAUGUUAUAUUAUCACUGUUGUGCAUUUUAUUUAGACAUGCGUAUCGUGCACAGGUUCCAAAGGACAAAGAAGAGCUUGCCUCUCUCCAGGCCAGGCUAAGAAAGCGUUUUCCAGUUGAUGCAUACAAUAAAGCACGAAAGGAGUUGGACCCGAGCAGGAUCCUUUCAAAUAACAAGCUGGAAAAGCUGUUCCCAUUAUCGGAUACCAUUUGAGAAGCAUCCUUCAGUGGUUAGUUAUUGAUUAAUAUGGCUUUUCACUAAAUUUGAAUGCAUUUUAGCUUCAAUAAAAAAAAAAUUCCGCCAAAUCUGCCUCGAGCAUCUUUAGACCUAAGAAUAUAACUGUAAAUUUAAGAGGAAACAUGAGAUACGAUGUGGUGUAUUAUUACGUUUAUUGAUAAUGGUAAAAAGGAAAAACCUUUUGGACACAGCCUUCGAUCUCAAAUAUAUUGACUUUCUCGAUAAAAGUUGCUUGUUUGAAAAAUUGGGAAGUGCCAAAACAAUUCAAUUAGGGUCUAUGUGUACCUCGCAUACCCUGAGUAAUAGUGAGCAAAUAUUGUGUAGAAAAUAUGUUUAACCCAUUCAAAUGUUCUUGUUGCGUUGAUGUAACUUGUAUAAUGUACUUACGUAUAAGGAGAAUAGACAGACGCAGGGAAAAAUAAGA